rnacentral:lncRNA from 1 species
GUCUGUGUCCACAGCAGCUACUCAGCGGCCUUGACAGUGGUCAGGCUGGGGCAGGGCAGGACUUAAAGCUGGGUGGAGAAUGCAGCUAGCUGCUGGGAUGCUUGAAUGCAUGAAUGCUUGGAAUCUUUAAAAAAAAAAGAUAAUGGUUGUAUUUAUCAUUGAGAAUUUCAUGCAGUGUUCUGGUCAGGAUCCUUCCCCUCCCCCUCCAUUUGAAUCUUUGAGUGCUGAUUUUUGUCAUGCCCCCCUGCAUGUUGCUGUCCCCUCAAAGGACAAGUUACCUAACAGCAGUUCAGUUCUGUGUCAGCACACGGACAUUUUACUUCUGGGAUGUCUUACCUUCAAUUGCACAGUUUUAUCUUCCUGCAGAUAAAAUUUUAUCUUCGUGUAAUGCUAAUCUUACAACGAUGAGAAUUUGUCUGAGGAAGUUGGCAGUUAAAUGUGGGCUUUGAUAAAAGCAUGUGAUGAGUUUCAGUUACUUUUAACAAUUAGCUGCUCUCCAAUAAUCAGUUUUGAUGUUAAAAAUAUGUGCUGAGUUGUAGAGUUCCAGAUUUUAUGACAAACUUCUGAACUGUCCCUUUGGGACAAAUGAGAGCGUUAGAGCUGCUUAUCCAAAUCACUUCGCAUUAUGUAUUUUGAGUCCAUGUUUUCCAGUCUUUUUUUUUUUUUUUUUUUUUUUCGGUUGUCUGAGACAGGGUUUCUCUGUAUAGCCCUGGCCGUCCUGGAACUCACUCUGUAGACCAGGCUGGCCUCAAGCUCAGAAAUCCGCCUGCCUCUGCCUCCCAAGUGCUGGGAUUAAAGGUGUGCGCCACCACUCCCCGGCAAGUCCUUUAGUCUCUAAUACUAAAAUCCUUUGGGGUUUUUUUUGUUUUGUUUUUUUUUAAUUUGUGUGUGUGGUGGAGGAGGCUGGGUGUCACUGUGUAGUCUUGGCUGGCCAAAUUGGUUAUCUGUAGACCAGAGUGGCCUUGAACUCCAAGAGGUCAGUGUGCCUCUGCCUCCCAGAGCUGUGACCAUGUACCACCACGCACCGCAAUGCUCACUGGUGUAGCUCUCAUUCCUAAAGCUCUGACACUGGGUAAAUCUUAGCCUACCAGCAUCACAUCGCUCUCUCACCCCUCAGUGGCCUGCACCUUCCCCUCAGCCUUUUCCUUCUAAGCCUUUGUUAGUUGGUUCUGCAAAUGUGCCCCUAAGUUAUGUCACAGAGUGUCACUCAGAAAAACUUUUAGCAGAAGAGAAAGGGCAGCGGUGACUGCGGCAUCACUUCUAAGAGUUUGGUCUUAGAUCAAGCGUGUAAGUAAGGCUUUCUGCAUUCAGUCAUACCCAGCCCCUAUAACUCUGUUUCAUCGUGGUCAUCAUUUGGAGGCCCCUCUGCUGUCCCCCUCCCUCCAGCUGUUGGGGCCCCCUUGUUUAUCAGUUUUUUAAAAGAUUUAUUUAUUUAUUUUAUGUAUAUGAGUACACUGUAGCUGUACUGAUGGUUGUGAGCCAUCAUGUGGUUGCUGGGAAUGAAGAUUGCUCGCUCCGAACUAAAGAUUGAUUUAUUAUUACAUCUAAGCUGUCUUCAGAUGCACCAGAAGAGGGUGUCAGAUCUCAUUACGGAUGGUUGUAAGUGUUUGCUAGAAUUUGAACUCAGGACCUUCAGAAGAGCAGUCAGUGCUCUUAAUCACUGAGCCAUCUCUCCAGCCCCUGUUAAUCAAUUUUAAAUGUCCUUGUUCAGUACAACUUUAAUUAACACCUAAAACUCCAUGGAUAUUCAUAGUACAAAAAUGUCUGGAUACUGGCACUGGAUACCAUGUGCCUUUGAAGUUGCUAAACAUUUCUUUUGUGGAGCAUGUGAUAAUUUUCAUGAACUCCCUUGGACCCCAUACUUUUUGGGUUUUUCUACAUCACAACUAGCUAAGUUCUGUUACAUAAAGAGAGCUUGCAGCCAUGGUUGAAAGUGAUGUUGAUAUUGUUACCACGGGCAUCUGUUUCAGUUGUGCUGCUUGGCGAGUCCCAUAUUAACCAGCUACCCAGAGGGCACAAGGCCCUCCCUCUGUCUUUAGCAGUGGCUGCUCAUAGAAAGACAAUCUGGACAGAUCCAAAGUGGUACCAUGGUUAGGAGCCUGAGCAGAGCCAAGUAAGUUACUUCAGGUGACCUGCGGCUGCUCAUCCUGUUGGUGCUCGUGACACCCAGCUGGUCUCAGUGAUAGCUCUGAACUCAGUGUGAAGGAGCACGACCACUAUUCAAGCUCACUGACAGGAAGCAGGCAUUCUCUAACGAGGGCACCUUCCAUCUGUGGCAGGUUUCAUUCUGCCGGGUGAUCCUGCAUGUUCAUGACAGAUAGCAGGUGUUUGGGGCUGACACAGAGAUGUUUUUAAAGUGUUGAAGACAUUUUCUGGGCCUAGAUUUGAAUCAUGAGUUCUUUACAGGCAUUGGCAAAGUAGUUCCAGAAAAUUUAUCUGUAGAAAUCUGUUAACUUGGAAAUGUAAGGCAGGUGUGGUGGCGUACACCUUUAAUCCCAGCACUUGGGAGGCAGAGGCAGGCAGAUUUCUGAGUUCAAGAGACCAGCCUACUCUACAAAGUGUGUUCCAGGACAGCCAGGGCUACACAGAGAAACCCUGUCUUGGGAAG